GCUAUACACCAUAUAAAAAUUACUAUGCUGCCUACCUCUUACAAAUGAAGAUAACGCUAAAAAUUAUAUAUUUAGUUAAUACCUAUGCUAGGAUUAGUAUUAUAUAUCAAAUUAAGCAAAAAUCUGAAUUAAUUAAAAAAUAAUUCAACAAAAAAUAAAAUAAAAAAUAAGAAGUAAGAGAAAGGAACUCGGCAAACAUCCAACCUGCCUGUUUAUCAAAAACAUGGCUCCCCGAUAAAAACAAAAAUGAGGAGUCCAACCUGCCCAAUGAUUUCUUAAAUGGCCGCGGUACUCUGACCGUGCAAAGGUAGCAUAAUCAUUUGCCUUAUAAUUGAAGGCUAGUAUGAAUGGUUACACAUGGUUGAAACUGUCUCUCUCUUAUUUUCUAAAAAUUAACAUUUAGGUGAAGAGGCUUAAAUUUUAUUAAAGGACAAGAAGACCCUGUCGAGCUUAAAAGAUAUUUGGAGAUGUUGAUAUCAUAGAAAUAAAAAUCUUUAUAGCUUUUUAGUUGGGGCGACUAAGGAACAAAAAAAGCUUCUUUCAUAAAAAAAAAUACACCAAUAAUGAUCCAGUAUAAGCUGACCAGGAAAAUUAGUUACCGCAGGGAUAACAGCAUAAUCUCUCUUGAGAGACCAAAUCGAAAGAGAGGGUUGUGACCUCGAUGUUGGACUAGAAUAUCCUGGAGAUGCAGAUGUCUCUAAAGGUUGGUCUGUUCGACCAUUAAAAUUCU
rnacentral:rRNA from 1 species